AUGGGCCCUCAACACCCAUCAAUGCAUGGUGUUCUUCGACUGAUCGUUACUCUCGAUGGUGAGGAUGUUAUUGAUUGUGAACCCAUAUUAGGCUAUUUACACAGAGGAAUGGAAAAAAUCGCGGAAAACCGAACUAUUAUACAAUACUUACCUUAUGUAACAAGGAUAUAG
rnacentral:rRNA from 1 species